rnacentral:rRNA from 1 species
CAGCUUCUAACCAUCCCGCAAGGGAUAACAACUUAAUUGACAUUUUGACCUCAAAUCAGGUAGGACUACCCGCUGAACUUAAGCAUAUCAAUAAGCGGAGGAAAAGAAACUAACAAGGAUUCCCCUAGUAACUGCGAGUGAAGCGGGAAAAGCUCAAAUUUAAAAUCUGGCGGUCCUCGCGGCCGUCCGAGUUGUAAUCUAGAGAAGUGCUAUCCGCGCUGGACCGUGUACAAGUCUCCUGGAAUGGAGCGUCAUAGAGGGUGAGAAUCCCGUCUUUGACACGGACUGCCAGGGCUUUGUGAUGCGCUCUCGAAGAGUCGAGUUGUUUGGGAAUGCAGCUCAAAAUGGGUGGUAAAUUCCAUCUAAAGCUAAAUAUUGGCGAGAGACCGAUAGCGAACAAGUACCGUGAGGGAAAGAUGAAAAGAACUUUGGAAAGAGAGUUAAACAGUACGUGAAAUUGUUGAAAGGGAAACGCUUGAAGUCAGUCGCGUCGUUCAGGGAUCAACCUUGCAUUUUUGCUGGGCGUACUUCCUGUUUGACGGGUCAGCAUCAAUUUUGACCGUCGGAUAAAGGCUUGGGGAAUGUGGCAUCUUCGGAUGUGUUAUAGCCCUGGGUCGCAUACGACGGUUGGGAUUGAGGAACUCAGCACGCCGCAAGGCCGGGUGUUCGCACCACGUACGUGCUUAGGAUGCUGGCAUAAUGGCUUUAAUCGACCCGUCUUGAAACACGGACC